AUAAGAACUAGAACCGUAACCGGUUCCCAAAAGCAAAAGUAUUGUUUCCUGUUAGAAGAUACAAAGCCAAAGACUCAUACGGACUUCGGCUAAGCCAUCAAAGUUUUGAGAAGCAAUAAGAAGCUUGGUUAGUGUUUUGGAGUCAAAUAUGACUUGAUGUCAUGUGUAUGAUUGAGCAUAAGAACUAAAACCGCAACUGGUUCCCAAAAGCUAAAGUAGUGUUUCCUUGUUAGAAGAUACAAAGAUAGAGACUCAUACGGAUUUCGGCUACACCAUCAAAACUUUGAGAAGCAAUAAGAAAUUUGGUAAGUGCUUUGGAUU
rnacentral:sRNA from 1 species